CGCGUAGGCGGGUACUUAAGUCAGAUGUGAAAGGUCCGGGCUUAACCUGGGGACUGCAUAUGAAACUGGGUAUCUUGAGGGCAGGAGAGGAAAGUGGAAUUCCUAGUGUAGCGGUGGAAUGCGUAGAUAUUAGGAGGAACACCAGUGGCGAAGGCGACUUUCUGGACUGUACCUGACGCUGAGGCGCGAAAGCAUGGGGAGCAAACG
rnacentral:rRNA from 1 species